rnacentral:misc_RNA from 1 species
AAGAAUUUGCCCUAUCCUCUCGAGGAUAGGUCCUCUUCUAAACCGUGUAUACAUACCUUUGUUGCUUUGGCGGGCCGCCGUCUCGGCGUUGGCUUCGGCUGACUGUGCCCGCCAGAGGACCCCAACUCUUCUGUUUAGUAUUGUCUGAGUACUAUAUAAUAGUUA